CAGUAGCCGCGGUAAUACGUUGGGUGCAAGCGUUAAUCGGAAUUACUGGGCGUAAAGCGUGCGCAGGCGGUUAUAUAAGACAGAUGUGAAAUCCCCGGGCUCAACCUGGGAACUGCAUUUGUGACUGUAUAGCUAGAGUACGGCAGAGGGGGAUGGAAUUCCGCGUGUAGCAGUGAAAUGCGUAGAUAUGCGGAGGAACACCGAUGGCGAAGGCAAUCCCCUGGGCCUGUACUGACGCUCAUGCACGAAAGCGUGGGGAGCAAACAGGAUUAGAUACCCCAGUAGUCCCUGUCUCUUAUAC
rnacentral:rRNA from 1 species